AUCGAACUCACGCGAGAGCCCGCGAACUGCAAGUGACUCUUUGCGGACUCCGUGGGUCGCGGGCGUGCUGGCGCCAAUCUCAGCUGACUCUGGUACACACUGAACUGGUCGCCAGCCCAUUGCACUGUUAAUAGGAAAGCAUAACGGACUACAGGUGACUACUACAUCUGCCUCAAAGUUCUGAGGUUUGGAGUUCGAAUCAUUUGCAUGUUCUCCCAUUUCUUGCAUUGGUUUUCUCCAGGUUCUCCGGCUUCCUCCUUUUUGCCACAAACAUGCAUGUUAGGUUCAUUGAAGACUCUUGAUAGUCUCAGCUAGGAUAGGCUGGCUCCAGCUCACCCACGACCAUAAUGAGGACAUGGAAAUAAGAUGGAUGAUUUGGACAUGUUUUUUUUGUUUUGUUUGUUUGCUUGUUUUUAUCCUCAAAUUGCUGGUCCUUAAGAUCUCUGGUGCAGCUGCAGCAUUGUAGUUUUAAUUGCAGUAUACAAGACACAUGCCUCGCUUGAAAUUAUUGCCGUAGGAGGAAUGGAGGAAGGAAAAAACGAUGACUUCCAAGUUUCCCCAAUGCUUUCCCUUCACAGCUGCUGAUGCUUGUUACAGACAGAUGAUUACUUCUCCUGACACAUUUACAGGCCUUGGUGACAGACUCUUUCAACCUGAAGAUAAAGGUGAAGGGACUUUGGAAAUUCUUUCUUCGGCAACAAAGUGCGCCACUAUUUUUAUGUGACUGAAUGA